rnacentral:pre_miRNA from 1 species
GACGGUAUUAUUGUCCUGUCACAGCAGUAUUGUUGAGCUUAAUCCUACUGCUGCAACGGGACAUAGCCACCGAA